UCAUAGGUCCUCUUCGGCCUCACAGCCGAU
rnacentral:sRNA from 1 species